AGAUCCGCCGGGUAGUCCCGGACGCAGCCGAUGCGAGGCCCCGCGCCGGUGGUCCAUCUGCACGACAGCCGCCUCCCGAGCUCGAACGCCAUUGCUGCCUUCUCCCUGCUUGCGUCGCUUUGCUCCUUUGGUUCCUUAGGGAACUCAUCGUCAUCGACGGAGCACUUCUGAGAAGCAAAAGGCACGAGUGGGUUGGUUAAAUGCCCCAGGUAUGAAUGAUUAGGUAUCACGCAAACGAUUAGAUCUGCUCCUUAAUGGUGCACGGCUCGUAUGGUAGGAGCCCUCUUCGGUGUUCAUAAGAUGCAACAUCAGGGAAGAAGAUGGAUUUACCUUGACAUUGGUGAGGUCUACAUGGUUGUCCCCAAGGAAACUAAUGAACUCCCUAAAAUUAUCUUCUGUCGGGAGGUAGUGUCCGCUGUACGGCCAUAUAGCCUGAGGCAAUCAUCAAAUUGUACCAAGAGUUUUACGUCAGCCUCAACUAUGGCUCCAUCUCAACAUAGGUGGUCUGCAAUUAGGCAAAUCAUACCUCGAUUCUGCCUUCUUUGGCGACCAGCCUUCCUGCAGCUGUCGUAGCUCCCCCAGCUAAAAAGCUCGAGUGUUGGAAUGUGCCUUUGUUCUUCUGUUCAUCCACAAAAGUUUGCUUUAGGAGGCUGAGCUCAUAAGUAUGAACAGUUAGUUCCAAGCAUGGAUAUGAUGUGCACCUUCCCCACAUACAGUGCUCUUGAUGUGCUGAGCACAAAGAUCCACUUGCAACCUUCAGUGGGUGGUGAACACAGUACAAUGUAUGGUCAGAUACACCUUCGCAUCACUCCACCAGAUAAGGUCGGGCUGGAGUGAUCGAACAAGGAGAGCUUACCGGACCAAGAUAGCUGAUGCACUGCUUUUGAAGCUUGCUUCUUGGGCACCUCUCCAGAUUUACUUCUCUUCCGUCUCCGACGUCCAACCUUCACAUUCGACCAAAGGAAGGAACAGACCAGACAUCAUAAUACAAAUGCAAGUUGUGCCCAUAGCGAUGCCGGGGAUCAAUCUGCACGGUGCUGGUUGUGGAUUAGAUUACCGUAAAGCCAUCUCUCUGUGCUACCAAGGAAGAGGAUACUCACGGCUUCUAACCAAUGUUGCAGUGCUAGCUUCUGAGCCUUUUCAUCUUUGGAGAGGCCCUUACCGACCUGAGAAAAAUGGAUGCACACACAUAUCAUAUUGAUUGGAUAUACAUUGGAACAAUUAUAGAGCUUAUGCGUCAUGACAUAUCAAUCCGAUCGAUUACCCUGGCUGCUCUUCUUUUCGCUCUUGCCCAUUUAGAGACUGCAGGUUCUGGCUUCUCGACGUCGAAGAACAAGAUGGAACUACGCUUGAGAGAUGCGAAAUCCAGUGCCUUCCACCUGCAAAAGGGGAUUGUUUUUCUUUUUGAGCGUCAAGCUCGCUCGAAGGCCGAGGGGAAGAGAGCUCGACGAGCUGUUGCGGGAGCUUCACAUGGGGCACCGCAAAGUUCAUCGGCACCUUGAGACAAGAUGGCUGCAACGUAACAUCAUCAUCAUCUGCGGCUUGUUCUCCGAUGGGAACGGAUGCGUCGAGCUUUCGUGUCUCAGGUUCCCAGUUCCUGAAGCUUAAUGAUCUCUCCGUCACGGCGUCAUCGCACGCACCAGAGACCAUCCUGUUCGACGAAUUGCUCCUUCCGAAACUGAGUGAUCUCAAAAUCCUAUUGGCCUUCUUUUCACCGAGACUAAUGGAUCCGGCUGCUGCAAACCAAUUCCACAAGGGCACGGAGAAGGAUAAGCCCAUGGAAGUGCUGCCCCUGUUAGAUUACAAAGGUCCAACCACAAGAACCAUGUCACGGAGCAGUAAAGCCAGCAUCAUCGCAUCUCCGACAAAUAGAUCAGUAGAUGGAAGAGGCAGAAGAAAGAGCGGAACAAGCUUAGUUCAACGUACCUAGCAGAUCACAGAAGGAAUCCGACUGCUCGGAUGAGAAGAAAGCUGAGAAGGUAAGGAGGACGAUGCCACUGAGCAGUGCUCCCUUCCUGGAAUGAGCUCUGUGAAAACUCAACUUUCCAUCUCCUUCAAAGGAGAGAGAGAGAGAGAGAGCACAGCUUUUUUGAAGCCUGUGUUGGAUUAAAUUAUGGCUGCUGCAUGACUAACCAUCCCCACUACCCAACUUGCUUAGAUUUUAUAUGACCAUUUGAGAGAUGCGCUGUUGGAUUUGUUUUGCUUUCAAGGAUUGACCAUUGACUUUUUAGUGCCCACAGGAGGUAGGCGUUUCUUCCUUGCCAAAGAAAACGAUGAUUUCAGCUCCAAGCAUACGUAAUCAGAUAAGUCCUUUUGACUAUAUAUAUAUAUAUAUAUAUAUAUAUAUAGUAUACAGCAUGAGUAUAUGUAUAAUAAUAACUCAUGCAUUCACAUGCCUUUGCUAGCAUAGCAUUAAAGGAGCUCAUCAACUGGAUUCAAUGAACUAAUUUCAACUGGGCAGCUGCCCCCCUUGACUUUGAAGAGGUCUUAAGUUACUCCCACAGUACAGAAAUGGAGAACAAACAAGAAACCAACCUAUCUUCUCAAUAGGAGAACAACAAGCUCAUGUGUCUGUGGGACAUGGAACGGAGGUUCCUUGAAGCUUCACGGCUGCGAGAGCUCUCUCGUCAAAGAACAGCAGAUCUCUCUCGUGAAAACAACAGAGUAAGACAAACAGGGAGUUGAAGACCGAGAAAAAGAUUCAACACUGGAUUACAUAUUAUAUUCUGUGGAUUGCUCGGUUCUGCACAUGCCAAGCAUCCAAGAAUCGAAAGAGCAUUGCCACCGGAAAUGCUCUUACUGUCUUUUUGACCUAUAUGCGGAGCUUGAAUGCAGAGUCUGCGACCGGUGAGCUCGCUCGCUCGCGAGCUUUCAGCGGCGGAAAGGAGAAGUUGACACGUAGCCUGGUCAAAUACCAUGUCUUCUUCGGACCGCAAUCCUGUGAGUACGUGUUGCCGUCCUCUCAUUUUUAGGCUUGUUUGGGGUCAUUCCGCUGCUUCCCAGAAAAACCAAUGGCAUUGUGCGUGUGGGGUGAAGGAGUCGGGGGCAGUUGGUAGCUUUCCCCGCUGUUUCUUCUCCUUCGAUUCCGAGAAGGUCGACUGUGCAGCAGGAGGAGGUUUCAUAUCCGGGGAAGGAGGAGGGCGGAAAGGAUCCCCCGUCCUCCACGUUACUUCUUCAAGAUCCGUGCACCAAUUGCUCGAAUCUUAAAGCAGAGAUGUCGAAGGUGACCGAGGUCCUCCCCGUAAUGGAUGUGGCCGUGAAGGAUCAUGAUGAACGAGCCCUUGACGUUCGUUCUUUAGGAUUCGUGCAGGCGCAACAUCGCACUUGGGUGUGCAGCGUUACCCGCACGAUUUCUAAAGCAGAGAUGUCGGAAGGCCUCCCGGUAACGGAUGGAUUGCAAAAGGUAACGGAAGUCCUUCACGCUCCUCCUUUGAGAUCCGUGCAGUAGCACACUCGUCCAGUCAUUAUAAAUCCGUGCAGGGGGGACCCGAGAUAAAUGUCGAUGGUCUUCCGACGUGGGAUGCGAAUGUGAAAGAUCUAAGUUUCCUGCUUUACGAUCCGUGCAGACGCACACCGCACUUCGCUAUGCCGUGCAGCUCGAACGAUGUCUGAAGCGGACACGUCGAAGGUCUACCGACGACAUUCUUGCUCCAAGAUCCGUGCAGGGUGAUGGCACCUUGUCAAACCUCUGCACGAUUUCUAAAGCAGAGAUGUCGAAGGUCUUCCACCCGCGUUAACGUAGAAGGAUCCCAGUAAUCAAGUCCUUCACGUUUUCGCUUUAUGAUCCGUGCAAAGGCACACCGCACUGAUGCUGUCACUCGCACGAUUUAAAGCAGAGAUGCUGAAGAGCAAGUCCUUCAUGUUUUUGCCUUAUGAUCCGUGCAGAGGCACACCGCACUGAUGCUGUCACUCGCACGGUUUCGAAAGCAGAUGCUGAAAGCAAGUCCUUCACGUUUUUGCCUUAUGAUCAGGGCAGAGCCGCAGCGGCACUGAUGCUGUCACUUGCACGGUUUCCGAAGCAGACAUGCUGAAGAGCUAGUCCUCCACGUUUUCGCUUUAUGAUUCGUGCCAGAGGCGCACCGGCACUGAUGCUGUCACUCGCACGAUUUCCAAAGCAGAUACGCUGAA